rnacentral:lncRNA from 1 species
AGUUCCCAAACUGCAACCUCUCCUACGUAUAUCAUGGUAGCACAGGACAACGUCCGUUCCAUGUUUAUUCGCAAGAAGGUCUAGUUUGAGUGUAGUAUCGCGUGACGACUAAAACUUGAGACAACACUCAAUUUAGCCACCGCACUACGUCCUAAAAAGGCCAAGGAUGGGUUUGGUAACUACGGUUCAUAGCAUCGUCGAACAAUUGAAAGCAAAGUGCCUAAGCAUGACAACACACGCCGAC